rnacentral:rRNA from 1 species
AGACGUCUACAUUUAGAUACCCCUGUAGUCCCAGCCGUAAACUAUGCGCGUUAGGUGUAUCGGUGACCACGAGUUACCGAGGUGCCGAAGGGAAACCGUGAAACGUGCCGCCUGGGAAGUACGGUCGCAAGGCUGAAACUUAAAGGAAUUGGCGGGGAGCACCACAACAGGUGGAGCCUGCGGUUUAAUUGGACUCAACGCCGGGAAGCUCACCGGAUAGGACAGCAGAAUGAUUGCCGGGCUGAAGACCCUGCAUGACUAGCUG